GCAGUCGAACGGAAACGAUGGGAGCUUGCUCCCAGGCGUCGAGUGGCGGACGGGUGAGUAACACAUAGGAAUCUGCCCAGUAGCGGGGGACAACUUGUGGAAACUCAAGCUAAUACCGCAUACGCCCUACGGGGGAAAGCAGGGGAUCUUCGGACCUUGCACUAUUGGAUGAGCCUAUGUCAGAUUAGCUUGUUGGUGGGGUAAUGGCCUACCAAGGCGACGAUCUGUAGCUGGUCUGAGAGGACGAUCAGCCACACUGGGACUGAGACACGGCCCAGACUCCUACGGGAGGCAGCAGUGGGGAAUAUUGCACAAUGGGCGAAAGCCUGAUGCAGCAAUGCCGCGUGUGUGAAGAAGGCCUGCGGGUUGUAAAGCACUUUCAGUAGGGAGGAAACAGCAGUGGGCUAAUACCCCAUUGCCUUGACGUUACCUACAGAAGAAGCACCGGCUAACUCUGUGCCAGCAGCCGCGGUAAUACAGAGGGUGCAAGCGUUAAUCGGAAUUACUGGGCGUAAAGCGCGCGUAGGCGGCUUGGUCAGUCGGAUGUGAAAGCCCCGGGCUUAACCUGGGAAUUGCAUUCGAUACUGCCAGGCUAGAAUGUAGUAGAGGGAAGUGGAAUACCGGGUGUAGCGGUGAAAUGCGUAGAUAUCCGGAGGAACAUCAGUGGCGAAGGCGACUUCCUGGACUAACAUUGACGCUGAGGUGCGAAAGCGUGGGG
rnacentral:rRNA from 1 species